UGUUCUCUUCAUUAAAACUUCUGGCCAGGCCCGAGCGCUCCUGGUGCUGGCCUGGCAAGACCUGCCUCGACCAUGAGCGAGGGAGGCCUCCACCUCCCUGUGCAGAAGCCCAGGCCUCCUCGAUGGAUGACGGGGUCAGAAGCAAGAACAGGCAGGACCGGUCAGGAUGGCUGUGAGGGACAGGAAAAGCAGCCCCAGAUCGCAGACUGGGACCACAGAUAUGGACACCCGUCCAUGAGGUUCCGUGGUUCCGUGGCCCCGUGGGCCCCGGCUGCGGGCACUCCCUCCUCUCCUUGGAGAGCUCCAGAUCCUGUGACCCCACGGAACCCUGGAACUGACGGGACAGGAGGCAGUCAGCACCUGUCAACAGCCGCGGGGAACCCAAGGACGAGGGGAGACAGCAGCAGGCCCAGCUUGGUCCAGGGCAGCGGAGACGGAGUGGGAGCCAGGUGCCAGCAAGACCCACCCUCAGCCCCUGGGCCCUGUGUGCUCCUGGGCGCACUGGUUACAAGUCUGAUCAGGCACCUGUACCUUCUGCCCUGGGCUGAGCACAACAGACCAGAAGCAGCUCCCCAGCUACCUUGCACCUGGAGGAGGGGACAGGGAUCCAAAGAGGAUGUGCUGCAGGUCCCCGUGGUCACCUACCUCUGAGGUUGCUCGAGUCCCUUAUAGAAAUGACAGCAGUGGUUCUUGCAUAUGACCCUAAGGGCUUCCUCCCUGUACUUUAAACAAUCCCUAGGUUACUCCUAAGGCCUAACACAAUGUAAAUGCUACGUAAACAGUUGUGAUGUUGAUUUUUUCUUCCUA